AUUGAACGCUGGCGGCAUGCCUUACACAUGCAAGUCGAACGGCAGCACGGGGGCAACCCUGGUGGCGAGUGGCGAACGGGUGAGUAAUACAUCGGAACGUGCCCAGUAGUGGGGGAUAGCUCGGCGAAAGCCGGAUUAAUACCGCAUACGACCUACGGGUGAAAGCGGGGGAUCGCAAGACCUCGCGCUAUUGGAGCGGCCGAUGUCAGAUUAGGUUGUUGGUGGGGUAAAAGCCUACCAAGCCGACGAUCUGUAGCUGGUCUGAGAGGACGACCAGCCACACUGGGACUGAGACACGGCCCAGACUCCUACGGGAGGCAGCAGUGGGGAAUUUUGGACAAUGGGCGAAAGCCUGAUCCAGCCAUGCCGCGUGCGGGAAGAAGGCCUUCGGGUUGUAAACCGCUUUUGUCAGGGAAGAAAUCUUUCGAGCUAAUACCUUGA
rnacentral:rRNA from 1 species